UGAAAAUUAAUCAGUACCACAAACUUGGUACAGUUAAAAUAAAAGAAAAGGAAAAAAGUCAAAAUUAAUUAAAAAAAAAUGAAAAGAAAAGAGAGGUAACAUUUCAACUACAACACCAGAACAUCAUAUAACACAACUAAAUGACUGCAACAUCUAAUCUUGAGUGUGAGUUUAGAGUUAAGACGUAUGCAUGGCAUAAAUAGGACACAAGGAAAAAUAUUAGCACUGCAUAAUAGCAUAAGUUUAGAUCUUAAGAUAAAAGGAAAGAAAAAGAUCUAAUAGUGGGAGAGGGGAAAUAGAAGAAAACACAGUAAAACUUAGGCCAUCAGAUGAGAUAUAUCAUCAAUCAAUUUCACUCGAAAACUAUUUUUUCUCUUCGAUUAUCCCUAAAUGGCAUGAAAUUACAUUUUCGAAAUGAAAAAUUUUCCACAAAACAAAACAAACCCUACAACAUAUGAAAAUGGAUAUUAAAAACAAAGUCAACAAAAAAUUGAAAUAAAAGAAAAAGUGCAUAAGAUUAAAAACAAAGAACAAAAAAGCUAUAGAUCUUCGAUUAUUCUACACGUUGAAAGCCACUCGAAGAUGCCAAUUUUUUGCUAUACCUAUGUGCCAAUAGCUGGUAUCUAUCUCCUCAAGAAGGUCAAAAAUAGAGGAAUCUUAUACAGAGCACAAAUAUUUGAUAAAACACCAAAAAAGGCUAACAAAAAAUCACGAUUUUGAGUGUUUGGGAGAGAAGAGUGAAAGGUCGAAUCUUGGAGAGGAAAAAUGAAUUGGAAAAUCGAUGAUAGAAGGAAAAUGAGGAGUGAAUUGUUUCAAAAAUCACUGAAGUUAUACCAUGGUCACAAAUUGCACACUAAACUUCACUGUGCUUCACAGUACACACUGAACUUUACCAUUUAGCUCUCCAUCUCCCACCAUCAAAAAAUCCCUUUGUUGGUUGCUGACGUGGCGAACGAAAUUCCUAGUUGGCGUCUGACGGUCGUUAACUUGGGAGAAAAAGGGGGAACAAUUUUUGUAAUCUGAAAAUGCUUCUCGAAGCGCCACUGCCACAGAAACUACUCCGUUCGACAGCCUCAUCGCUGAUUUUGCUAGACCAAUUACUCUAACCGUAAACCAACCCAUCUCCUGUAAACACCACCACUAUCAUACCCAGACUCCGACGCCGCCACCAUGGACGUCCUCUACCAAAAAUAAUCAAUAGACCUAAACCAACAUCGAUCGACACCCAACUACACUAUAGCUCUGGUAAACUCAACUUGUUGCCGGCCUCCCUCGUCGAUUGCCAACCUACAUAAGUAACACAACACCACAUAUUCACCACCAUCAGCUGUCCAAGAGUCAACCGCCCAAACAUAGAAAAUUCAAACCACAAUCCACUACCACUAUCGUUUGCCACUGCAAUCAACCACAAUCCGAACCCAAAAAAUUCAUCCACCCGCUUUAUCUAUCUUGCUAGACAUAGAAACAUUACAAUCCACCACUAUUUUGCUACAAUUACAAAUGAAAUUCACCUCUUAAUCGUCACUUACCUCGCCAUCCACCACUUUCCUUUUUUCAAUUCAACUCUUUUCCAAUUGCAAAGAAUAUAGUUUUGAUGAUUUUAGUUUGUGUUUGGAUGUGGCUGUAGGGUGGUGGGUUUUGGUUUUUUGUGGGUGUGGGGUGGGUAGUCAAGGAGAAAGAACAUUUCUGGACUUUGGUUUUUGUCCAGCGACACGGUAGCAAGGAGCUAUCGGUGAAGAAAGGGAGGGGGGAC
rnacentral:lncRNA from 1 species